rnacentral:rRNA from 1 species
AGAGUUUGAUCCUGGCUCAGAUUGAACGCUGGCGGAAUGCUUUACACAUGCAAGUCGAGCGGCAGCGCGGGGGGCAACCCUGGCGGCGAGCGGCGAACGGGUGAGUAACAUAUCGGAACGUACCCCGUCGUGGGGGAUAACACAGCGAAAGCUGUGCUAAUACCGCAUACGACCUGAGGGUGAAAGCGGGGGAUCGCAAGACCUCGCGCGAUGGGAGCGGCCGAUAUCGGAUUAGCUUGUUGGUGAGGUAAAGGCUCACCAAGGCGACGAUCCGUAGCUGGUCUGAGAGGACGACCAGCCACACUGGAACUGAGACACGGUCCAGACUCCUACGGGAGGCAGCAGUGGGAAUUUUGGACAAUGGGGCAACCCUGAUCCAGCCAUUCCGCGUGAGUGAAGAAGGCCUUCGGGUUGUAAAGCUCUUUCAGCAGGAACGAAACGGUGGCUACUAAUACUAGCUACUAAUGACGGUACCUGAAGAAGAAGCACCGGCUAACUACGUG